rnacentral:rRNA from 1 species
UGGGGAAUAUUGCACAAUGGGCGCAAGCCUGAUGCAGCCAUGCCGCGUGUGUGAAGAAGGCCUUCGGGUUGUAAAGCACUUUCAGCGAGGAGGAAGGUGGUGAACUUAAUACGUUCAUCAAUUGACGUUACUCGCAGAAGAAGCACCGGCUAACUCCGUGCCAGCAGCCGCGGUAAUACGGAGGGUGCAAGCGUUAAUCGGAAUUACUGGGCGUAAAGCGCACGCAGGCGGUUUGUUAAGUCAGAUGUGAAAUCCCCGGGCUCAACCUGGGAACUGCAUUUGAAACUGGCAAGCUAGAGUCUCGUAGAGGGGGGUAGAAUUCCAGGUGUAGCGGUGAAAUGCGUAGAGAUCUGGAGGAAUACCGGUGGCGAAGGCGGCCCCCCUGGACGAAGACUGACGCUCAGGUGCGAAAGCGUGGGGAGCAAAACAGGAUUAGAUACCCUGGUAGUCCACGCUGUAAAACGAUGUCGAUUUUGGAGGUUGUGCCCCUUGAGGCGUGGCUUCCGGAGCUAACGCGUUAAA